rnacentral:lncRNA from 1 species
CCCCGCCCCGCGCACCGCGCUUCCUCCCUUUCUUUCCCUUCCUGCGUCUGUCCCGCUCCGCUUUCUCCUCUGCGCCCCUUCCUCGCCCGCCCUCGCCUCCUCCCCCUGGCGAGGUUCUCUGAGGCGAAUAGCCGGGCGCGCGGUCACGGCCGAGCUCCUGCUGGGGGAGGGGAGACGCACCCAGGCCGGGUCCUUCCGCGCGCCCCCUGCCCCUCCCGCCGGACCCCGCGGACUACCCCGCGGCCCCGAGGCGGAACCCCAGACGCCGGGCCCAGCGCACCGUGCGCUGGGGGGGAGCCCGGCCGCGCCCCCCGCCGCGGCCCCCGCUGACUCAGCGCGCAGCUAUGCGGGCCUCGCCUCACCCGCGCCCAAAUAAUAGCGACCGAGCUCGGCGCCCGCGAGGGGCCGCAGGGCCGGGGGUUUCGAGGCGAGCCUGAGAGGGGGCCCUGGGUGUCUGGGAUUCCGAAUUAGCGGAGGCGGGUGGAAUCCUAGUCCUGGGGCAGGAGGGCCUGGGAUCCUGAAAGCGUUUCUGCCCGGCUUAGACACUAACCACUUCAAGAGAACGGGAGAGCACCGGAAAAAGGCUUUCCAGCCGCAGGCCUUCGCGGGGUCUUCUCCUUUUGGGGGGCGGAAGAGGGGUGGUUAUCGGGACCGUUCCGCCGCAUUCCUGCCCUCUCGGCGGCCGGUGCCAUCGCUUAGAUCCGCCCAGGGCGCAAUCCGAAAAUUAUGUGCCAAGAGCUAUAAAACCGUUCAUAGAGCCCCUUUGACCCAGUAAACCCAUUUAAGGAAGUACAUUUCCAAGGAAAUGAUCCAAAGGGCGAAGAAGGGGGAGAACUUGCAGAAAGAUGUUAACAGCAGGGCUAUUCACAAUGUUCGUGAUGACCAAAACCUGGGAAUGGGCCCAGUUGUCCAACAAUUGAGUAACCCAAACAGGCGCCUUCACAUUAACAGCAAGAAUCCUGGCAGGUGAUGUAAUGAGGACUCAUAUAUAUGCACAUGGAGUGAAUAAAUGAAUUAAGGAAUGGAUGGGUGAAAACAACGAACUGUGAAUGGUCCAGCCAUCACCAAUAAGACACGUAACAACUUUUCCCAUCUCGCUUCACGCUGCCAGGCAACGCAGGCUGGCAUUGUUGUAGUGAGUUGCUUCUGUUCCACACAAGCCAGGAUUUAAUAACAGAAUAAAGGAAUGAACUCGCAAUACAAAGGUGUCAUUAUCUUUGUAAACUCCUCUACUAUAAAGGGUACAGGGUUUAAUGGUUUAUGAAAUAGAGUUUCAUCCUAAGUUUCAUUCAUGGUUCUGGUAAUAAUUCC